UUGAACGCUGGCGGCAGGCCUAACACAUGCAAGUCGAGCGGUAGCACAGAGAGCUUGCUCUCGGGUGACGAGCGGCGGACGGGUGAGUAAUGUCUGGGAAACUGCCUGAUGGAGGGGGAUAACUACUGGAAACGGUAGCUAAUACCGCAUAACGUCGCAAGACCAAAGUGGGGGACCUUCGGGCCUCAUGCCAUCAGAUGUGCCCAGAUGGGAUUAGCUAGUAGGUGGGGUAACGGCUCACCUAGGCGACGAUCCCUAGCUGGUCUGAGAGGAUGACCAGCCACACUGGAACUGAGACACGGUCCAGACUCCUACGGGAGGCAGCAGUGGGGAAUAUUGCACAAUGGGCGCAAGCCUGAUGCAGCCAUGCCGCGUGUGUGAAGAAGGCCUUCGGGUUGUAAAGCACUUUCAGCGGGGAGGAAGGCGAUAAGGUUAAUAACCUUGUCGAUUGACGUUACCCGCAGAAGAAGCACCGGCUAACUCCGUGCCAGCAGCCGCGGUAAUACGGAGGGUGCAAGCGUUAAUCGGAAUUACUGGGCGUAAAGCGCACGCAGGCGGUCUGUCAAGUCGGAUGUGAAAUCCCCGGGCUCAACCUGGGAACUGCAUUCGAAACUGGCAGGCUAGAGUCUUGUAGAGGGGGGUAGAAUUCUAGGUGUAGCGGUGAAAUGCGUAGAGAUCUGGAGGAAUACCGGUGGCGAAGGCGGCCCCCUGGACAAAGACUGACGCUCAGGUGCGAAAGCGUGGGGAGCAAACAGGAUUAGAUACCCUGGUAGUCCACGCCGUAAACGAUGUCGAUUUGGAGGUUGUGCCCUUGAGGCGUGGCUUCCGGAGCUAACGCGUUAAAUCGACCGCCUGGGGAGUACGGCCGCAAGGUUAAAACUCAAAUGAAUUGACGGGGGCCCGCACAAGCGGUGGAGCAUGUGGUUUAAUUCGAUGCAACGCGAAGAACCUUACCUGGUCUUGACAUCCACAGAACUUUCCAGAGAUGGAUUGGUGCCUUCGGGAACUGUGAGACAGGUGCUGCAUGGCUGUCGUCAGCUCGUGUUGUGAAAUGUUGGGUUAAGUCCCGCAACGAGCGCAACCCUUAUCCUUUGUUGCCAGCGGUUAGGCCGGGAACUCAAAGGAGACUGCCAGUGAUAAACUGGAGGAAGGUGGGGAUGACGUCAAGUCAUCAUGGCCCUUACGACCAGGGCUACACACGUGCUACAAUGGCAUAUACAAAGAGAAGCGACCUCGCGAGAGCAAGCGGACCUCAUAAAGUAUGUCGUAGUCCGGAUUGGAGUCUGCAACUCGACUCCAUGAAGUCGGAAUCGCUAGUAAUCGUAGAUCAGAAUGCUACGGUGAAUACGUUCCCGGGCCUUGUACACACCGCCCGUCACACCAUGGGAGUGGGUUGCAAAAGAAGUAGGUAGCUUAACCUUCGGGAGGGCGCUUACCACUUUGUGAUUCAUGACUGGGGUG
rnacentral:rRNA from 1 species